UACGGGAGGCAGCAGUGGGGAAUAUUGCACAAUGGGCGCAAGCCUGAUGCAGCCAUGCCGCGUGUAUGAAGAAGGCCUUCGGGUUGUAAAGUACUUUCAGUCGUGAGGAAGGUGUUAAGGUUAAUAACCUUAGCAAUUGACGUUAGCGACAGAAGAAGCACCGGCUAACUCCGUGCCAGCAGCCGCGGUAAUACGGAGGGUGCGAGCGUUAAUCGGAAUUACUGGGCGUAAAGGGCACGCAGGCGGUUAAUUAAGUUGGAUGUGAAAUCCCCGGGCUUAACCUAGGAAUGGCAUUCAAGACUGGUUAGCUAGAGUCUUGUAGAGGGGGUAGAAUUCCAUGUGUAGCGGUGAAAUGCGUAGAGAUGUGGAGGAAUACCGGUGGCGAAGGCGGCCCCUGGCAAAGGACUGACGCUCAUGUGCGAAAGCGUGGGGAGCAAAC
rnacentral:rRNA from 1 species